AACGAACGCUGGCGGCAGGCCUAACACAUGCAAGUCGAACGCCGUAGCAAUACGGAGUGGCAGACGGGUGAGUAACACGUGGGAACGUACCUUUCGGUUCGGAAUAACUCAGGGAAACUUGAGCUAAUACCGGAUACGUGCGAGAGCAGAAAGAUUUAUCGCCGAAAGAUCGGCCCGCGUCCGAUUAGCUUGUUGGUGAGGUAAUGGCUCACCAAGGCGACGAUCGGUAGCUGGUCUGAGAGGGUGACCGGCCACACUGGGACUGAGACACGGCCCAGACUCCUACGGGGGGCAGCAGUGGGGGAUCUUGCACAAUGGGCGAAAGCCUGAUGCAGCGACGCCGCGUGAGCGAAGAAGGCCUUCGGGUUGUAAAGCUCUGUCUGGAGGGACGAAGGAAGUGACGGUACCUCCGGAGGAAGCCACGGCUAACUACGUG
rnacentral:rRNA from 1 species